rnacentral:rRNA from 1 species
UGCAGUCGAGCGGUAGAGAGAAGCUUGCUUCUCUUGAGAGCGGCGGACGGGUGAGUAAUGCCUAGGAAUCUGCCUGGUAGUGGGGGAUAACGUUCGGAAACGGACGCUAAUACCGCAUACGUCCUACGGGAGAAAGCAGGGGACCUUCGGGCCUUGCGCUAUCAGAUGAGCCUAGGUCGGAUUAGCUAGUUGGUGGGGUAAUGGCUCACCAAGGCGACGAUCCGUAACUGGUCUGAGAGGAUGAUCAGUCACACUGGAACUGAGACACGGUCCAGACUCCUACGGGAGGCAGCAGUGGGGAAUAUUGGACAAUGGGCGAAAGCCUGAUCCAGCCAUGCCGCGUGUGUGAAGAAGGUCUUCGGAUUGUAAAGCACUUUAAGUUGGGAGGAAGGGCAGUAAAUUAAUACUUUGCUGUUUUGACGUUACCGACAGAAUAAGCACCGGCUAACUCUGUGCCAGCAGCCGCGGUAAUACAGAGGGUGCAAGCGUUAAUCGGAAUUACUGGGCGUAAAGCGCGCGUAGGUGGUUAGUUAAGUUGGAUGUGAAAUCCCCGGGCUCAACCUGGGAACUGCAUUCAAAACUGUCGAGCUAGAGUAUGGUAGAGGGUGGUGGAAUUUCCUGUGUAGCGGUGAAAUGCGUAGAUAUAGGAAGGAACACCAGUGGCGAAGGCGACCACCUGGACUGAUACUGACACUGAGGUGCGAAAGC